rnacentral:rRNA from 1 species
UACAGAGGGUGCGAGCGUUAAUCGGCAUUCCUGGGCGUAAAGCGCACUUAGUCGGCUUUGCAAGUCGGGUGUGAAAUCCCCGGGCUCAACCUGGGAACUGCAUCCGAGACUGCAUUGCUAGAGUAUGGGAGAGGGAAGCGGAAUUUCUGGUGUAGCAGUGAAAUGCGUAGAUAUCGGGAGGAACAUCAGUGGCGAAGGCGGCUACCUGGCCCAAUACUGACACUCAGGUGCGACAGCGUGGGGAGCAAACAGG